AGCGUAGGACGCAAGCGUUAUCCGGAGUUACUGGGCGUAAAGCGCGGGCAGGCGGCUCGAAACGUCUGAUGUGAAAUCUCCUCGCUCAACGGGGAGAGGCCAUUGGAAACGGUCGGGCUGGAGGGCAGUAGAGGCAGGCGGAAUUCCGGGUGGAGUGGUGAAAUGCGUAGAGAUCCGGAGGAACACCAGAGGCGAAGGCGGCCUGCUGGGCUGCACCUGACGCUGAACCGCGAAAGCCAGGGGAGCGAACGGG
rnacentral:rRNA from 1 species